rnacentral:rRNA from 1 species
ACGGGUGAGUAACGCGUGGGAAUCUACCGUGCCCUGCGGAAUAGCUCCGGGAAACUGGAAUUAAUACCGCGUACGCCCUACGGGGGAAAGAUUUAUCGGGGUAUGAUGAGCCCGCGUUGGAUUAGCUAGUUGGUGGGGUAAAGGCCUACCAAGGCGACGAUCCAUAGCUGGUCUGAGAGGAUGAUCAGCCACAUUGGGACUGAGACACGGCCCAAACUCCUACGGGAGGCAGCAGUGGGGAAUAUUGGACAAUGGGCGCAAGCCUGAUCCAGCCAUGCCGCGUGAGUGAUGAAGGCCUUAGGGUUGUAAAGCUCUUUCACCGGAGAAGAUAAUGACGGUAUCCGGAGAAGAAGCCCCGGCUAACUUCGUGCCAGCAGCCGCGGUAAUACGAAGGGGGCUAGCGUUGUUCGGAAUUACUGGGCGUAAAGCGCACGUAGGCGGAUAUUUAAGUCAGGGGUGAAAUCCCAGAGCUCAACUCUGGAACUGCCUUUGAUACUGGGUAUCUUGAGUAUGGAAGAGGUAAGUGGAAUUCCGAGUAUAGAGGUGAAAUUCGUAGA